GCGCACCGAUCAGAUCGGGAUACUCAUCAAAUAACAUUGAAAACAGGAGCACACUACUGCGUUAAUGGCGGGCCACAAUUUGCAGUGUUUCAUUGCAAAUAGCAGAUACCUGUCGGUGGAUUACAAAGACCGGUAGCACUCUAAUCUUAUUCAAAUAGGAGUUUUCAUCACAAUCGCGGUGCGUUCC
rnacentral:sRNA from 1 species